rnacentral:lncRNA from 1 species
UGUUUGGAUCUUAGAAUGUUUUAAGUCUGGAGAGUUCCGUGCCCCUCUGUAUCUAAGGAGGACACAGCCAAAUGGGAAACCUACAGAGGGGCCAGAGAAGAGAGGAAGUAAAACCAACCACCACAUACUUAAAAUAUUUACAUGGAGAACAGUUCUUCUCCUUGAGUUCUAGGAAAUGAGUUACUAACAGUGGAGGGCACAGGAGCCACCUGACUCUGAGGGACUGUGUGAUGGCUGGAGAGGUUUCUGAAUAUGUUUGCCUUGUCUCCUCCAUUGACAAAGAAAGAUUGAAACCUAUAAGCUCAAAGGAAAGAGCUAAGGGAGCUGAGGUAUGACAUAACUACGUGCCUCUUACGGCUUGUUUGGAUCUGCAGUCUGCCUAACAGUGACACCUACGUCCACACUAACGGAAGAGAAAGUGUCUCAAUGAAUAGCAUUUCAAUGGUGCAUACAACACAAGUGGAAUGGCCUUUUAGUUAGAUUUUUUUCACUGAUUUAUGAACCAUUUUAACCUCUUUCUGUUGUACUGCGAACGUUUUCUGGUAAGGAGUUGGAGGAGACCACGCAAAGCAGUUUCAUUUUCUGGUAAGGAGUCGGAGGAGACCAUGCAAAGCAGUUUGCUUUGUGGCAGCUUUCCCAUCAUCCCUGAAGAGUUCCUGGGAGGACUCAGCUCUCCACCAAACUUCCCCAGAACCAUCACUCCUCUCUGUGGAUGGCAGCAGAUUUAGGACAUUGGACAGAGUUAAACCAGUUGAGGAUACAUGGAUCCAACAAGAAUCAACAAAGAGGCAAGCUUCUUCUCUGAGGGUAUCUCCAGGAAGGACUGAUCAAGGGGAGAAGACCCUCUCUCAGAAGCAGGGUUACCUGUUGCCUUCACUUCCUGCUGCUGGGUGUGUGUCUAUCCCAGCGCCAUUUUGCACAGCCAUCAGAAUCCAGUUCCCUCGGGCUUCCUGUGUGGACUGAAGACCAGCAGCUCUCCACCAAUCCUUCAAGCCUUCGGCAUCUGACUGAAAUGCUGAGGCAUCCAGUCACACGGAUAUCUGAGUAGCUAUUGGGCUCCUGGCUUCUCUGUGUGCAAACGGUCAUCGCUGGACUUCUCGGCCCCAUUGGGUCCCAGAGAUGAAGCCAUGGCCACUGUGCCACAGGGAAGGACUUCUCUGCCUACCAUCCUCCUAGAGAAAGAAGAACGUGGGGAACAAAUGAGCAAGGCCAGGUCCAGUCACAUGAAAGAUGUUGAGGGGACUUAGUGAGACUGGAUAUGCUCUGAGCAGCAUGAGAGGCCUGCCUGGGCUUGCCAUCAGCCUGCAAAACGUCAUAGCCACAUGUCACUCAGCUUUCCAGGACUUGCACCUUCCUCAUAAAGUGAGAAGGAAAUCUGUUGUUCCUCUUAUAUACCCAUGACAGUUAUGAGAAGGUGACAUCUAUGGUGACAGUGACCUCCAACAGAGGGUUCCUGCAGGUAGGACCACCAGUCUCAAGAAAUCACAGUGUUAGAUGCCAGAGGCAUCCUUAACAUCAAGCAGGAGAAUGUUGGAUUUUAUCACCAUUAAGUAAAAUGAUAGCUCACAUGGCUGGUCAUAUGAGCGGUUCUGAAAUGAAUGACAGCUUAAAAUGGCAACAACUAGAGAUAGAGUCACCGACAAGCCUGGGGCCGAUCGAUGAGAGUGACGGGAGGCUAUCGAUCACCUCCCGCAGCAGAUGAACGAUCAUUAUCCAAAAACGGCUCUCAGGGCCUGUGCAGAGGGACGCACCUGAGAGGACGCCUUAACUAAUUACGACGCACUAACCACCGGCCUGUCAUCCAAACUUGAGCCCUGGCUGCAAAUUAAACCAGAAACAAAUUGCAAAGAGAGUUGAGUAAUUAAUCUAAUUGAAUUUGCACCCGCUUUAUAAAGCGGUAAAAUGACACUCGGGCCUUGCCCUGUAGCACCGAAUUUUGCAUCUUUUCUUUCUGGCUGAAGUAUGUUUUUCAAUC